ensembl:lncRNA
CUCCGUUAUAACUCUAAAAGGGCAAUGUCUGAGCUGCAACAUAAGCAUCAAGUAACAGCGAAGAGCGCUAGCAUCAUCUCACCACAACAAACGGCCCACAGUCAUGUAAAUCAAACUUUUUGCAUUUUUAUUAAAUACUCUGUUUACAAAGUAAAGCAUUUCACACAAUCGUCAUUACAUUCAUCUCUAGAGUUCCUGAGUUUGUUAGCAUUCAUACAGUGCUUUCCUUCACACCAGAUGCACAAGAAAAGUGCAUGCUCGUGAAGAGACGUUCACGUACAUUCACUCAUGCAGCCUUGUGAGUUCUUGAACAUACCGCGAAGCGUACAGACCCAACCAAGGCACUAGUGUUGAUGUGCUGGUCAAAGUUGACUCGUUAUUUCUGUGAUGCACCUAUACAUCUGUAGAAUAAAUACAGUACAUGCAAUCAGUGAACGAAAGGGUUCGGUCUGACGCCCCGCACACGUAGUGAUGUCUACAAAUGUUUGAACACACUAUGUACAGUAUACACAAAAUAUGAAUAUAAAUAUUGCAAAUAUUUCACGUUACACAUAUAAAUAUAUUUCAGUUAUAAAUAGUGCUUAAGAAGCAUUGCUUAUCAGUUCAGGCCCAGACAAAGUCUCCAGAAGCCGUUGCAUUUUCUGAGCUUUAGUUGUAGAGUAAAAUCUGCAUAAUUUGGCAGAAUGCAUUUGAAUAUCGUGACAAAAACGUAAAAGAGACGAUCUUUUUGUAGCUGAAGGCAUUGCCAAAUUAGCCAAUAGAGUUUAUGGACAUUAGUGGAGUCCUGCUCAUCAAAGCAUAAAAAACAAGUCCUGAGUAAAUCAGUUUGGUCAGGCUUCUGCUGAUCACGUGCGAUGCAGCGCUCCAAAUCCGUCCACCAGAAACAUCCCAAAGCCAGAGUCAUUCAUCUCCAGUUUCCAGUUGUUUAGUGUGCCUUCAGUCUGUGAUUUGGCCAUGAGGCGGUUUUCAUUUUCCGGAAAGGUCACGACACGCCAACACGUCUGACUGUGAGGCGCUUCUUUGCUCCACACAGGCAGCGAGACGGUGCAGCUGAGCUCCUCACUAUUGUGUUUAUUGUAAAAGCUGACAGUGAAUUGGCCAGAUAGACAUCGUCCAGUGCAGGAAAAAUUGAGCUGGACGUACAAGAAGUAGGUUCCUCCUUCCUUGAUGUUCAGCACAUUCUGCUUUUCCUCAUAGCUGUAGCGAGAGCCAAUGGUUUGACCCUUUCCAUACGCGAAUGUUUCCCACGCCAUCACACCUGUUUUGAGUUCACCUGCAGGGCGGAGACAAAGAGACACGCUCAUUCCCAAGACUUUAACAGAGGAAGUCAACGUGCAGAGGUUUUUCCGGGUUCAAUACAAGUUCAUAAUGUUUUAGACCACAAGGAUUUUUUUUUUUUUUUGCAUUCUGUAAGUUCAAAAUGUGAGAUAUAACUUACUUUCAGUGGCCCUCAGGUAAACAAAAUUCUGCAUCUAGAAAAAGGAAGACAAGAGAAGAAACAAACAUCAGAUACAUGUUUGACGACUCGUGUAAAACAAGAAACCCUGGUCUGAGUCAUGCUUUCAAGGAAUGGGUUUUUGGCACUGCAGAGCUAUUGAGAUGCUACAUGGUUCAAUCUAGAUUAAAAAUAUUCUUUAUGUUUCAUUGUAGGUUCUUCAGAUUGGCGGUUUGGCUGCUUGGUUUAUUAAAACACCACAACACAGAUGCGUUUUUUUAAUUCUUCUUCUAAAAGCCAAUGCUUUGUUGAACUCCUAUGGCAUCAAGCUGUUUCCUUUAUGUAAGCUAUUUAUUGAUUUUUUUAAAGUGUAUUGUUGUUACUCUCUAAAAAAUUCUGAGUUGUUCAAAUAACUUUGGAUCAAAUAUGGACUAACCCAGCUGUCAUGUUACAUUUUUACAUUGCAUAUUUAACCCAAAGUUGGGUUGAAACAACCCAGCAAUUAUUUAGUUUUUUAUUGUUAUUAUAGAAUUCUGAACGCUCUAAUUGGAACCUUUAUCUAACAGUAUUACAAGUUCUCUAAAAUCAAAGCUCUUAUUGUCAACUGAUAAAAAGUAAGUAACGCGUUAAUUAGUGAUUAUCAUAAUCAUAUAUGUGCAAAUUAUUUAAAUGUAUUUUGAAAAACGCAACUGUCCAAUCAUAGUUUGAUGAUGGCUUUACUAUUAUGGUAUAAAUAAGCACAUUUGAUUUCAUUGCAUUUACAAACUCACCUUAUACGCGUUUCCGGUCUUGGCGAACGGUGCGACCAACGCGUUCGCGGAUCCGUCUGAGCGUCGCGUCGUCCGCGCGUCUAUCUCGUCCUCGAUGUGUUUGGCGAAGUACAGCGCUCCCGAUCCCGCGACCAUAAACAUGAGGAAGAGCGCGAUCACGGACACGGUGAGGAAGGUGUCCAGACACCGGCUGCGGGAGCGCGCGGCGGGCGACUGGCUCUCAACAUCUGCGGACGCGGACAUCUCGAGAAACGGCGUAUCCCUGUGUCUGAAAAAGGAAGGGUGUGUUUGUUACCUGCAUGUGAAUACCUGUGCGCCUGAGGCUCUACAGGAAGUGAUGUCACCCGCACAGGUGUAUAGGAGCAGCUCUACGCCUACAAUGAAGUCGGGUGUGUGCUUAUCCAAAAGACUCGGAAAAACGGAAGCUCCACUAGUGUUUUUGGCUCGUUUUCCCUCUUCUGUCACUGGAUUGAUUUCAUAAGAACCUGAGCAGUGAGUCAGACAGCUGGACUUUAUGACUCACUCAAACUCAAAGUCUGCAAGAUCCAUAUCUGAUCCAUGUCUCCAUGGCUGCGUUUGGACAGAAACACUAGUUCAGUACUAACUGAAUAUAUCUUUUUUUAGUUUAGCAGACACUUUAAGAAAAAGUGAGUUAUAAAUGAGUAAGAAAACAUGAUUCAUCAUGAGGCAACUCUUAGUUUUGACGUGAUGUAACACCAGUCUGGAGACAAAUCAAAUCUUCACUGUGCUGCCUCUGCCAGUUAUUUUUUUUUUCUCCAGGAUUGUGGUAAGCACUAAUGUACUGAGACCAUGAUAUUAAAAGAGCACAUUCAGUAUACACAUUAUUGAUAAUGCA